GUCAGGGCCACCUGCAGCAAGUGAACGUCCUUGGGAAGGUCUUCUCGAAUGUGCCCCUGUCACCUCCCACGGGCCUAUGAAAACCCACGCUGUCAUAAGAACCAAGAAAUUCAAAUCGUGUCCCCUAAGGACACGGGGAACUGCCGGAGCCUUGAAUUAUUCGUAUCUAGCAAUCCAGCAUAUGUGCUUUCUGUCAUCCCGAUACCCUGGAGGGGUGCACCAGACCCAGCAGCCGGGCUGGCACAGAACCCGGUGCUCCAGAAGCCCAAACAAGCAUUUAGUCGUUGGAGCAACAGUGGUCUCACAGGUUUCCUGGAGAUGCUCGCCCACUCCACCCCCAAGACAGAGGCUGACCUGGAAUUCAUCAUGCCCAGCUACUAGAGAUCUUCAGCCACUGAGCACAUCCAGGUGAACAAAGCCCCUACUGUGCGCACUGUCCUUACAGAGCUUGUGGCCACAGUCCUCCUACAUGUGGACUUUACUGCUUCACUGAGAUGAUCUUCCCUGGAAAGGGACAAGCUACUCCUGAACUAGAAGAGGAGAAAAAGGUUUUGAGUUUGGGGCCUUCCAAGGUCUAUGGAUAGGGGACUUUCUAUAAUCUGUGGACCAG
ensembl:lncRNA AABR07032520.4